rnacentral:rRNA from 1 species
UACAGAGACCUCAAGCAUUAUCCGGAUUUACUGGGCGUAAAGGGUCCGCAGGUGGUUUUGUGCGUCGAUGGUUAAAUUUUAGGGCUCAACCCUGAAACCGCCGUCGAUACGGCAAAACUAGAGGUUGGAAGAGGCGAGCGGAAUUACCGGUGUAGUAGUAAUAUGCGUUGAUAUCGGUAAGAACGCCAAAUGCGUAGGCAGCUCGCUGGAACACACCUGACACUCAGGGACGAAAGCGUGGGGAGCGAAAGGG